rnacentral:tRNA from 1 species
GGGCGGAUGGCGGAACUGGUAUACGCGCAUGCCUUAGGAGCAUGUCCCGCAAGGGUUGGAGGUUCAACUCCUCUUCCGCCCA